CCUGAGAAACCCAAAAGAUCGAAUGGGGAGAUUCAUCGUCAGCGGCUUUGGCUUCCGUGCGGUACGCGAUGGCGGGGACCUCGGUCUCGCGUCACGCUGCCGCUGCGGCAUGUCCGGAGUCGUCGGCGUGCACUUCUCCCCUAGUAGGACGUCGCGACCCGUUGGGUGUCGGAUCGAUGGCCGGUCGGUCGUCUGUGGUGCGCUCGCGCAUUCGCAGACCGAUUCGGUCGAAAGUCCGGCUGCCCGGCGGUAUUGAACGAUAUGAACUGGUAUCGGGCCGCACUCGAAUGCGUUCAGGCUCGUCGGCAGGCUCGUCUCGCUCGGAUUUACGGACCUAGCGCCGUUGCCGGGUGCUUGGCGUGGCUGUUAGUCGACGAUGUCCUCGGACUGGCUCUUACCCGUCGGCGACGCUACUGCUUUGGGUACUUUCAGG
rnacentral:rRNA from 2 species